UCAAAGCUAUUGACUCAAAACUUACACGAGUGAUCUCCAUAAAUGUAGAAAUGUAGACAACUCGGUCCACUAAAUUAUGUGUAAUAAAGCGGAAUGGAACAUGAUCACGGACAUUUUUUUCCAAUGCUUUUUAGAGUAAUUACAACUUCAAGUCAUCUUGUGUGUAAAUCAUUUGCAUUUCUUAGGUUUGAGUUUGAAAUAUUCUUCCACAUUACUGUCUUCCAACCUUUAAAGCUUCUGGGGGCCUCUUCUAUGACAUCUAAUCUUCAAGGAGCUUUAUUUUUUUGUCUCAGAAAUCAUUUGAGAGUUUCCUUGGCUGUGUGCUCAGGAUCAUUCUCUUGCUGAAAAAUCCACCGUCGUUUCUUCUUCAGUUUCUUAUUAAGAAGGUCCCGGUACAUUUCUCCAUUGAUCCUUCAUUCGAUAUGAAGCUUGCCAGUAGCCUGCUAAAAACUACUCCCCAUCGUGGUAGUCUCAGAUUCAAACCUCACUGUUGAUGUUUUUUACUGUGGUGUGCCGUGCGAUCUAUUAUCUAAAUAUUGUGUGUGCACUGGCAUUUAAAGAGAUACCUUUUAAUCUAAUCUAUUCUUUACUUUACUUUUGAUGUAUGUUACAUUUUCAAAAUUUCCUUUGGGAAACUUUGAAUGAGUUUCAGCAAUCUGUUUCUUCAACAGUGGAGUUUUGUGCAAUGAGCAUACACUAAGGUCACCACAGUUCAGUACAAUUACUUAUUGCUUACAUAUAAACCACAGUUGCCUUGCAGCAGAAAACUUUAGGAUUUCAAUUUCAGUCAAGAAUGGAGUAUUAUUGACUCCAACAGGCACUUCCUCCCUCAGGCCAUUUUUAACAGAUCAUUUUUGAGGAAUUUUGACAAUUUACACGUCGAACUUUGACAAAAUCCACCUCGGCAUUAAAAUUUCCUCACACUAAUCAAAUUUAAACUCUAUCACAGAGCAGCUAAGGCAGAUUUAGUGACUUACAUGAGCAAACAUUAAUAUGGUAAACUGAUGACAUUAAUUUAUCCACUGAAUAUUUCUGUGGUGAAUGAUCUUCUGUAGAAAGUUUUUCUAAAAAUGAGCUGCACGGGGAUGCUUUCAGCUUUAAUUAUUUCAUUUAUAUCUUUAAAACUGUUGAAAUAGUUGUUUUGAUUCCUUCCUAUGUUAGAAUUAUCCGGGCUACUACCAACAUCUAUUUUUCCUUGCAUUUUACAAGAGUACAGCAUGUCCAAAAUUUUUAAAAGCAUUCUCAAUAAUUAGCAGUAAUCAGCACAAACAAAAUGGCAUUACAGCAAUCAGAAACUCUUCUUAUGGUUUCUGACCAGCUUUUUGAAAAUUUCCACUGGUAUUUUAAAUCCUCCUGUUGUCCUCGGAUCAAAAUGACCCGAGGACAACAGGAGGGUUAAAGAGUAUUUAAGGUUGGAAGGCCUCCUUGCCAUCACUCUAAUGUUUUGCUCCAUCUGUUGAUUCUCCGUCAGAGACAAGUCUGGACUCUGGUUGCUCCGCCACAAAACUUUAAAGUUCUUUUAUUCAGAAGAAACAUGUUCAUUAAAUUAUUUUUAACCCGAAUCUGUCAAAGGAAUGAAUAAUUUUGGUGCUAACUAUUUUUCUGAUUGAAACAUAAAAUACACUUACACUUUAUUGCAUUACUAUAUUGUAUACAUAGUGUUGGAUCCUUAAAAAAAACAAACAUAUGCUCAACUUGCAGUGUUUCCAGAUGUGAGAAAAUGUAUUAUCUAAAUAAAAAAGCAGAAAUACAAUGGAAAUUAACAAAAAAAAGCCAUAGUUUGAUUCUAAUUAUUUUACAUUAAUGCAGUGAUUGUCUUGCUAUUUUAUCUGUGAUUAAGAAUUUAGUGAAGAACUCAGAUGAAAAAUGUUUGAUGAAUGAAACUCUAUUAAUUAAACAUUGUCCUCUAUAUAUUUCUUUCACAUCUUAGUGCAUCAAUUGAUUUUAAACUUUAAAAGCAUCUGUAUCUACUGCAUAUUAUCAAAGGCCAUCCUGAUCCGUCUGUGUAUUUGGGCUGAAACCCCAUUGUGUGGUUUAUCACAUACACAAAAAUUAUGUUGCGACUGAAAAUCAGUUUAUUCGUCCUCAGUUAUUGAUCCAUACCUGAAAUUUGUGUUUCGACGAUAAGUUUGAUGCUGCAGCAAAUUCACCUGAUUGCUUUUUUGUCCUUCAUCAGUUUAAAACAAAUUCUAAAGAGAUAUUCUUUAAAGAAAAAAAAAUGAAUUAAUAGUUGCAAGCUAAACAUCCUAUGAACUUUGUGUAUGAGUAAUUAUAAAUGAGCUGCAUAUAAUAAAUAUAAUAAAAGUACAUUCUUAUAAAAGAUCCAUCUCUGAUUCAGCAGGAGGUAUUGAGAUGGUGGACUGUGAUGUAUAUUCUUCCAGGCAUCUGACCGUAAACUCUUAGAAAUCUGGCUUCCUUUCAAAGCUCCUCCACUUCACAAGCUCUUCUUCCAGAAGCUCAGGCCCCAGCCGCCCAUGCAAGGAGUCUGUUUUGUCCAGUUUGAUCCUCACUUAAAAUUGAAUUUGAUUAAUACUCUCAAACAAAGACGACUUCAAAGGUGCCGCCGCAGCUAUACAGGUCAUCCCUGCGAGCGCGCCGAGACCCAGCCGUGCGUGACGUGCAUGCUAAUCGAAGCGUGUUAUAGUCAUUUUGUAAUUUGGUGCAUCUUACUUCAUAAGCAUCUAGAGGCCCAUUAUUCUGUGGUUAUACAAGAAUUAAUCAAGGGCACUUUAACAGGAUUUGUUAAACCAACUUUUACCCUCCCUGUGUGCAUCCAGUGAUGGAUGGUUUCGAGGAACUCUCUGCAGAGAAGCUCCUUCUCUGGUUCUGUCACAAUUAUACAUCAAAUAUCUCAAUUAUCAACCUCGGAAUUUUUUUUUUAUUUUUUAUUUUUUUAUGUACUCCAUGAAAUUAAGAGUAGAUAUAUUUUUAAUUCGCUCAGAGGUUUGGUGCAUGCUUGGUUCAGCAUCUAUAAAAGCCUCUUUUGUCACAUCUGUCGAUUAGGCUUUUGCAUACACCAUCAUUUUUUAAAAAAUAUCUGGAAGCCAUUUAAUUACACACAUACGAGACAUAUGUUCUAUGAUCAAUAUGUGAAAGUGCAUUGCCAUCUGCUGGCACACAUUGGGACUUUUUUUUAAAACCCAGACAGUAAGAGGAAAGAGGGAUAACUGCUCACUUUAUUCAAUUUAACAUUUUUUGUUAUAUUACAAUUUUCUAUGAGGUGCAGGAAAUCUUUUAAAAAAUACCUUUAAGAUAACUAUUCAUACACAUACAUAAACAUUCCCUCCACUUACCUUGAUCAGAUAAAGAAAGUGCAAUCAAUUGAACAGAGGGGGCAGCAGAUUAGUCUUACAGAUGUGCAAUAAAUCUGUUGCAAAUGUGCCCUUAUCUGCCUUUCAAAGACGCUAAAGCUUCAUCUCCAACUAAUAAAUUAACAGGAUUACAGGCUGAGACCAGGUCUCAAUGAACAGUAAAUGUUGCAUUUGCGAGUCUAAUAAAAACUGCUGUGAUUAGGGUUUUCAUUUCAUGUAAUAAGAAAUGCAUAAUAACACACACUAAUCCUGUAGAUCACUGAGAAAUGGAACAUUUAGACAUUUUAUUCAAAAAAUAAUCCGAAAUUAUUCAAACACAGAGGUUGCAAACAACCUGCAUUGCAGAAGUAACUCUUCCCAGCGUCUACAUAAAGCAUGUUCGCAGCUUUCCUGGUGAUACAUUUUAUCUGCUUCUAACACUGCUGCUAUCUCAGGCAGAGCCUAAAUUGCCUGCCUCUUGCUAUCUGUUGAGCACCACAAUCUUCAUCAUGUAUUUGACCGUGCUGAGAUAUAGAAUACCGCUCCAUUUCAUUGGACUGAAUUCCAGAAAAUCGAUUGUGUUGAUCUAACAGAAGGUCUUCUUUUGAUGCCUCGCUGCUUUUGAAAGACUUAAACGGUGCAUUCUUUUAUUGAUUUUUAUUCUAAUUCAUUUAUUUAGAAAAAAAAAACUUAUGUCCAGAAUUAAUCUACGCGUCAUUAUCAGGAAAAUAAAAUGCUUGUUGAAAUAUGCCAUUAAAAUUCCUUAUGAAUGUUAGAUGGAAAUAUUUCACUCUAAUCAUCAUUAAGACGUCAUUAAGAACAUUUUUGUUGUUGCUCUGAUUCUCAUUUUACUGAGUAUUACUUACUGCCGGGUAACAUGUAGGAUAUAUUGUACAUUAAUAGAGUCCCAAUAAUUAGCUGGGCUUACAAUCAAGACACUUUUAAAUAAGAUUCUGGCAAAUCUCAGAACCUGUGGCUGGUGCAUCGCAUGUGAUCAGUUAUUCUUUAAAUAUCAAUAUCAGUCUUAAGCUAGUUUAUCCAAGCUAAUCUUAUGUUGAUGCAGCAUAUAAAGGCAGUUCUGAUGUUGCAAUUCUAAUGUAGAAUCAUGCAAACCUGCACUUUACAGGUUUGCAUGAUGUCACACCAAUUCCUGAUUGAAACAUCCUUAAAGUAUGAUUGUCUCUACUCUUAAAAUGCUAUCUUCACUUCUGCUUCUUUAAGUCUUAGAUCUAAAAAAAA